rnacentral:rRNA from 1 species
GACGAACGCUGGCGGCGUGCUCAACACAUGCAAGUCGAACGAUGACGACCGAGCUUGCUCGGUCUGAUUAGUGGCGAACGGGUGAGUAACACGUGAGCAACCUGCCCUUCACUCUGGGAUAACCCCGGGAAAUCGGGGCUAAUACCGGAUAUGAGCUCCUGUCGCAUGGCGGGUGUUGGAAAGUUUUUCGGUGAAGGAUGGGCUCGCGGCCUAUCAGUUUGUUGGUGAGGUAGUGGCUCACCAAGGCGAUGACGGGUAGCCGGCCUGAGAGGGCGACCGGCCACACUGGGACGGAGACACGGCCCAGACUCCUACGGGAGGCAGCAGUGGGGAAUAGUGCACAAUGGGCGAAAGCCUGAUGCAGCGACGCCGCGUGAGGGAUGACGGCCUUCGGGUUGUAAACCUCUUUCAGCAGGGAAGAAGCGAAAGUGACGGUACCUGCAGGAGAAGCGCCGGCUAACUACGUG